UACGUAGGGCGCGAGCGUUGUCCGGAAUUAUUGGGCGUAAAGAGCUCGUAGGCGGUUCACUAAGUCGGGUGUGAAACCUCCAGGCUCAACCUGGAGACGCCACCUGAUACUGGUGUGACUAGAGUCCGGUAGGGGAGUGUGGAACUCCUGGUGUAGCGGUGAAAUGCGCAGAUAUCAGGAAGAACACCAGCGGCGAAGGCGGCACUCUGGGCCGGUACUGACGCUGAGGAGCGAAAGCGUGGGGAGCAAACAGG
rnacentral:rRNA from 1 species